UACGUAGGGGGCUAGCGUUGUCCGGAUUUAUUGGGCGUAAAGAGCGUGUAGGCGGCCAGGUAGGUCUGCUGUGAAAACUCGAGGCUCAACCUCGAGACGUCGGCGGAAACCAUCUGGCUAGAGUCCGGAAGAGGAGAGUGGAAUUCCUGGUGUAGCGGUGAAAUGCGCAGAUAUCAGGAGGAACACCGGUGGCGAAGGCGGAUCUCUGGGCCGAUACUGACGCUGAGGAGCGAAAGCGUGGGGAGCGAACAGG
rnacentral:rRNA from 1 species